rnacentral:rRNA from 1 species
GAUGAACGCUGGCGGCGUGCCUAAUACAUGCAAGUCGAGCGAACGGACGAGAAGCUUGCUUCUCUGAUGUUAGCGGCGGACGGGUGAGUAACACGUGGAUAACCUACCUAUAAGACUGUGAUAACUUCGGGAAACCGUAGCUAAUACCUGCUAAUAUUUUGAACCUCAUGGUUCAAAAGUGAAAGACGGUCUUUCUGUCACUUAUAGAUGGAUCCGCGCUGCAUUAGCUAGUUGGUAAGGUAACGGCUUACCAAGGCAACGAUGCAUAGCCGACCUGAGAGGGUGAUCGGCCACACUGGAACUGAGACACGGUCCAGACUACUACGGGAGGCAGCAGUAGGGAAUCUUCCGCAAUGGGCGAAAGCCUGACGGAGCAACGCCGCGUGAGUGGUGAAGGUCUUCGGAUCGUAAAACUCUGUUAUUAGGGAAGAACAUAUGUGUAAGUAACUGUGCACAUCUUGAAGGUACCUAAUCAGAAAGCCACGGCUAACUACGUG